rnacentral:rRNA from 1 species
GAUGAACGCUGGCGGCGUGCCUAAUACAUGCAAGUCGAGCGAACGGACGAGAAGCUUGCUUCUCUGAUGUUAGCGGCGGACGGGUGAGUAACACGUGGAUAACCUACCUAUAAGACUGGGAUAACUUCGGGAAACCGGAGCUAAUACCGGAUAAUAUUUUGAACCGCAUGGUUCAAAAGUGAAAGACGGUCUUGCUGUCACUUAUAGAUGGAUCCGCGCUGCAUUAGCUAGUUGGUAAGGUAACGGCUUACCAAGGCAACGAUGCAUAGCCGACCUGAGAGGGUGUUCGACCACACUGAAACUGAAACACGGUCCAGACUCCUACGGGAGGCAGCAGUAGGGAAUCUUCCGCAAUGGGCGAAAGCCUGACGGAGCAACGCCGCGUGAGUGAUGAAGGUCUUCGGAUCGUAAAACUCUGUUAUUAGGGAAGAACAUAUGUGUAAGUAACUGUGCACAUCUUGACGGUACCUAAUCAGAAAGCCACGGCUAACUACGUG